rnacentral:piRNA from 1 species
UGCUGUGCUGGUUGGUUUUGUCAAAUU